UGCAGUCGAACGAGCUCUCCCAAAUUGAUUUUAUGCUUGCAUAAAUGAUUUUUGGAUUCGGAGCGAGUGGCGAACUGGUGAGUAACACGUGGGUAACCUGCCCCGAAGCGGGGGAUAACAUUUGGAAACAAAUGCUAAUACCGCAUAAUUAGUUGGAACCGCAUGGUUCCAACUUGAAAGAUGGCUCUGCUAUCACUUUGGGAUGGACCCGCGCCGUAUUAGUUAGUUGGUGAGAUAAAAGCCCACCAAGACGAUGAUACGUAGCCGACCUGAGAGGGUAAUCGGCCACAUUGGGACUGAGACACGGCCCAGACUCCUACGGGAGGCAGCAGUAGGGAAUCUUCCACAAUGGACGAAAGUCUGAUGGAGCAACGCCGCGUGAGUGAUGAAGGUUUUCGGAUCGUAAAACUCUGUUGUUAAAGAAGAACAAGUGUUAGAGUAACUGUUAACACUUUGACGGUAUUUAACCAGAAAGCCACGGCUAACUACGUGCCAGCAGCCGCGGUAAUACGUAGGUGGCAAGCGUUGUCCGGAUUUAUUGGGCGUAAAGCGAGCGCAGGCGGUUUUGUAAGUCUGCUGUGAAAGCCCUCAGCUCAACUGAG
rnacentral:rRNA from 1 species